AGAGAAGUCAAUCUCUCGAGACCAUGGCUACGUUCAUUAAUGGUGUUCAACAAAGUUUAAGCGUCCUUAUGUUAAGCCAACUCAUUUGCUCAGCACCAGGUCAAUAAAUGUGAUGACCCGGUCAGUGUAACAGCUUCAAUAGAUGUACCUGAUCUGCACAUCUCUUGGUCCCAUACUUACACCAGUGACGACAUAGUUGAAGUCCCAGGAUUCAGUUUGUCGGUAUCCGGUUUUCCAUUGUCUGCCGGUGUUUACGUUCAAGUCUCUCUCACUCCAGACGACGAUAGACUGCGUUUAACGGUAAAGCUGUUGGCUGGAGGAAAGAUCAUCGGUAAAGGUGUUUAUCCUGUAAAAGCGACAUUGAUUGAGGGGAGUCUACCAAUCAAGAGAGACGGAUGUGGUAUCUUUGGUUGGUGGCACAAUCUGAGUGACGCCACCAAGGCAUCAGUGAUCAGUGGCUGGACAAUAAUCAUCAUCUUGAUCAUCUCGAGCUGUUGUUGUUGCUGUUGCUGUAACUGCUGCAACUGUCGUUCAUCCAAUCAGAAUACCGUUAUUGUGCAACCUACCCCUGCUGUGGGACCUGUUAUCAUGGCAACAACUUCGACAACCACCAACGCUAAUAUUCCGAUGCAACCAAUGGUUCGCGGAUUUUGAAUCGAUUAUUAGAUAUGCGUUUAAGCGUUUUUUUCGUUUUUUUAGUAUAGCAAUACCCGCAUGGCUGGCACAGCGCGUUGCUUGAAUAAAUAAGUAAUUUUGCUAUUUUGUAGGUCAAAAAUAACGCAAAUAAGUUCCUGAAUGUCUCGACGCAAUUUGGUUUUCUGCUGUCCGAGUUGUGGUAGUCUAGUUUCCAGUCUUCACUUGUAAAUGAUUUUUAGGCGCAACCACUGCGCUACAGAAAUGUAUAAUCUUUCAAAACCUGAAAAGUGCUUUUAACCGAACAAAAUAAAUUUGUUUCUGUUUUAACGAAGAUUCAGAGAAGAUUAUGUUGAUCACAAUUCAUGACAGACAUUAUCGAGAUGUAUGUCAAAGGAGCAACUGCCAAAGUAACCUCGUUCCAAGGUUUCUCUCUCGGAGGAAGAGAGAGAAUCCUGGUAAUGCGGUAGUUGCCAUAGCAGAACGUAAGGUUAACGACGUAAUUCCGAGAAAUUGAAACUUCGCUUCCAGGAACACCGACCAAACAAGCCAAACUGAAGCUCUAUGUCUGCUGAAUUCUCUCUGUACAAAAUGGAUGAGCAUGGAAACGUUCUUGUCAACAUUUUUCUCGUUGUUCUUUUCAGCAAAAGAGUUCCUCAACUGCAGGUAAAUAUCUCUUGUAUUGCAUCUCAAGUGCGCUGGACUGUUGUGCGGGAAGUCGAGGGUUCGAGCCCCGGC
rnacentral:misc_RNA from 1 species